AAGUCGUAACAAGGUUUCCGUAGGUGAACCUGCGGAAGGAUCAUUACCAAUUUUAUCGGGGGGACUUCGGUCCCUGUCUGAACCCUUGUCUUUUGCGUACUAUUUGUUUCCUUGGUAGGCUUUGCCUGCCAAUAGGACACUAUUAAACCUUUUGUAAUUGCAAUCAGCGUCAGAAAAACAUAAUAAUUACAACUUUCAACAACGGAUCUCUUGGUUCUGGCAUCGAUGAAGAACGCAGCGAAAUGCGAAAAGUAGUGUGAAUUGCAGAAUUCAGUGAAUCAUCGAAUCUUUGAACGCACAUUGCGCCCCUUGGUAUUCCAUGGGGCAUGCCUGUUCGAGCGUCAUUUGUACCUUCAAGCUCUGCUUGGUGUUGGGUGUUUGUCCCGCUUUUUGCGUGGACUCGCCUCAAAGCAAUUGGCAGCCGGCGUAUUAGCCUGGGAGCGCAGCACAUUUUGCGCAUCUCGACUGGAGCGCUUGCGUCCAUUAAGCCUACACUUUUGCUCUUGACCUCGGAUCAGGUAGGGAUACCCGCUGAACUUAA
rnacentral:rRNA from 1 species